AGAGGGGGCAAGCGUUGUUCGGAAUUACUGGGCGUAAAGGGCGCGUAGGCGGCCACCUAAGUCAGACGUGAAAUCCCUCGGCUCAACCGGGGAACUGCGUCUGAUACUGGGCGGCUUGAAUUCGGGAGAGGGAUGCGGAAUUCCAGGUGUAGCGGUGAAAUGCGUAGAUAUUGGGAGGAACACCAGUGGCGAAGGCGGCUCGCUGGACCGGUUCUGACGCUGAGGCGCGAAAGCGUGGGGAGCAAACGGGAUUAGAUACCCCGGUAGUCCACGCUGUAAACGAUGAGUGCUUGGUGUAGCGGGUAUCGACCCCUGCUGUGCCGAAGUCAACACAUUAAGCACUCCGCCUGGGGAGUACGGUCGCAAGGCUG
rnacentral:rRNA from 1 species